rnacentral:lncRNA from 1 species
AAGCCUCUGACGGGCUUCCUGCCUGGAAACCAGCGAGGGAAGCCGGGCAAGCGGCCUGGCUUUUUUCUUUUCUGACCCAAAUCUCGCAGUGUCCUUAAAGCCCAGCCCCGGCUUAGGAAGGCGCAGCGCCUCGCUGCUGGCUGGCAGCUGGCCGCAGAGCCGAAACGCCCGCGGGUCGCGGCCUCGGAGGGAGGAGGAGGUGGGAUGGGAGCUGUGUGUGUGGUUUCCCCUAGGUAAACAGCGAGUCCAAAGCCAACAUCACCUGCCUCGUGUACAGCCACGACGGCUCGGAGCUGUUGGCCAGCUACAACGACGAGGACAUCUAUCUCUUCAACUCCUCGCACAGCGAUGGGGCCGAGUACAUCAAGAGAUACAAGGGACACCGCAACAACGCCACGGUGAAAGGCGUCAAUUUUUACGGCCCAAAAAGCGAGUUCGUGGUGAGCGGCAGCGACUGCGGCCACAUCUUCCUGUGGGAGAAAUCGUCCUGCCAGAUCGUGCAGUUCAUGGAGGGCGACAAGGGCGGCGUGGUGAGUUGUGCCCCCCCCCCAGGCUGCUGGCUGCCCUCCGCUUCGUCACUCCUACACCAUUUUUCCUCCCCUUUUCACACAUUCCCCUUGAAUUCCCCCCAGAAGCCAAGCAGGGGCCCCAGCAGCCCCCAAAGCCAUGUCCGU